AUUGAACGCUGGCGGCAUGCUUUACACAUGCAAGUCGAACGGUAACAGGUUAAGCUGACGAGUGGCGAACGGGUGAGUAAUGCAUCGGAACGUGCCCGGUCGUGGGGGAUAACGCAGCGAAAGCUGCGCUAAUACCGCAUACGAUCUGAGGAUGAAAGCGGGGGACCGUAAGGCCUCGCGCGAUCGGAGCGGCCGAUGUCAGAUUAGGUAGUUGGUGGGGUAAAGGCUCACCAAGCCAACGAUCUGUAGCUGGUCUGAGAGGACGAACAGCCACACUGGGACUGAGACACGGCCCAGACUCCUACGGGAGGCAGCAGUGGGGAAUUUUGGGUAAUGGGCGAAAGCCUGAUCCAGCAAUGCCGCGUGCAGGAAGAAGGCCUUCGGGUUGUAAACUGCUUUUGUACGGAGCGAAAAGGUCUCCUCUAAUACAGGGGGCUCAUGACGGUACCGUAAGAAUAAGCACCGGCUAACUACGUGCCAGCCGCCGCAGUAA
rnacentral:rRNA from 1 species